GGCUCUUUCUGGUCUUUUGUCUGGUUAUUCGCAUUCCUUCCGUGGCAUGCUGCAGUAGAAGAUGCAAUACCCUGGGAGUAUCUCUUUUUGUCGCUUUUCCUGAGUUUCAUCGCAAUCGCAGUAAUUAUUAUUACAUGCAAGAUCUAUAUCGAUAAAAUAUUACGAGAUCAACUCUUGACGGAGGCAUCAGUUGCAGCCCCUGUUACAAGAGUGAACCUCAGAAAUGGCGCAGGUU